AGUUUGAUCCUGGCUCGAACGAACGCUGGCGGCGCGCCUAACACAUGCAAGUCGUGCGAGAAAGGCACCUUCGGGUGCCGAGUACAGCGGCGAACGGGUGAGUAACACGUGAGUAACGUGCCUUCGAGCGGGGAACAAUCCUUCGAAAGAAGGGCUAAUGCCGCAUGAGACCACGGGGUCGCAGGACCCAGCGGUCAAAGAUUUCGAGGUUCGCCUCGGAAUCGCUCGAAGAUCGGCUCGCGGCCCAUUAGGUCGUUGGUGAAGGUAACGGCUCACCAAGCCGAAGAUGGGUAGCUGGUCUGAGAGGACGAUCAGCCACACUGGGACUGAGACACGGCCCAGACUCCUACGGGAGGCAGCAGUGGGGAAUCUUGCGCAAUGGGGGCAACCCUGACGCAGCGACGCCGCGUGUGUGACGAAGGCCUUCGGGUCGUAAAGCACUGUCAGGUGGGAAGAAGGCGUGUAUGGCUUCGGUCAUGCACGUUGACGGUACCGCCGAAGGAAGCACCGGCCAACUCCGUGCCAGCAGCCGCGGUAAGACGGAGGGUGCAAGCGUUGUUCGGAAUCAUUGGGCGUACAGGGUGCGCAGGCGGCCUGGCAAGUCCGAUGUGAAAGCCCGGGGCUCAACUCCGGAAUCGCAUUGGAAACUGUCAGGCUUGAGUCCGAGAGGGGCCAGUGGAAUUCCUGGUGUAGGGGUGAAAUCCGUAGAGAUCAGGAGGAACACCGGCGGCGAAAGCGACUGGCUGGAUCGGGACUGACGCUGAGGCACGAAAGCGUGGGCAGCGAACAGGAUUAGAUACCCUGGUAGUCCGCGCCCUAAACUAUGUUCACUGGACGUUGGAUGUGUCAAACCGUCCAGGGUCGAAGCUAACGCGUUAAGUGAACCGCCUGGGGAGUACGGCCGCAAGGCUAAAACUCAAAGGAAUUGACGGGGGCCCGCACAAGCGGUGGAGCAUGUGGUUUAAUUCGAAGCAACGCGAAGAACCUUACCUAGGUUUGACAUCCCGCGAACCUCCCCGAGACGGGAGGGUGCCCCUUGGGGAACGCGGUGACAGGUGCUGCAUGGCUGUCGUCAGCUCGUGCUGUGAGGUGUUCGGUUAAGUCCGGCAACGAGCGCAACCACUGUCCUUAGUUGCUACCAGUUUUAGCUGGGCACUCUAAGGAGACUGCCGGCGCAAAGCCGGAGGAAGGUGGGGAUGACGUCAAGUCCUCAUGGCCCUUAUACCUAGGGCUACACACGUGCUACAAUGGUCGGUAUAGCGGGUGGCGCGACCGCGAGGUCAAGCCAAUCCUUCAAAGCCGGCCUCAGUUCGGAUUGCAGUCUGCAACUCGACUGCAUGAAGGCGGAAUCGCUAGUAAUCGCGGAUCAGAACGCCGCGGUGAAUUCGUUCCCGGGCCUUGUACACACCGCCCGUCACACCAUGGAAGUCACCUGCUCCAGAAGUCGGUGACCCAACUGGCCUCGCCAGAGGGAGCCGCCGAAGGAGUGGGUGGUGACUGGGGUGAAGUCGUAACAAGGUAGCCGGACCGCAGGCUCAAGCUGCAU
rnacentral:rRNA from 1 species